GGCAAGGUGUGAUUGGCCCGCCACGGUUACGUGUGUGAGUGCCGGUUUGCGCCUGCCAUCCUUCUAGAUAACGCUUCUACUCUUCACUGAGCCGGAGGCGCCGUCUAGAUCUUUUACUUUGAAAAAAUUAGAGUGUUUAAAGCAGGCUUUUGCUAUGAAUACAUUAGCAUGGAAUAAUAAUUUAGGACUUCGGUUCUAUUUUGUUGGUUUUGCGUACUGAAGUA
rnacentral:rRNA from 1 species